UACGGAGGGCGCGAGCGUUAAUCGGAAUUACUGGGCGUAAAGCGCGCGCAUGUGGUUUGGUAAGUCGGAUGUGAAAGCCCCGGGCUUAACCUGGGAACGGCAUUCGAUACUGCCUGACUAGAGUAUGGUAGAGGAAAGCGGAAUUCCCGGUGUAGCGGUGAAAUGCGUAGAUAUCGGGAGGAACAUCAGUGGCGAAGGCGGCUUUCUGGACCAAUACUGACACUGAGGCGCGAAAGCGUGGGUAGCUAACAGG
rnacentral:rRNA from 1 species